rnacentral:rRNA from 1 species
GACGAACGCUGGCGGCGUGCCUAAUACAUGCAAGUCGAACGCAGUGGGGACGGGUGAGUAACACCUGGCUAACCUCCCAUCAGAGGGGAUAACACUUGGAAACAGGUGCUAAACCGAUACUGAUGGAUGGACUCGCGGUGCAUUAGCUAGUUGGUGAGGUAACGGCUCACCAAGGCCACGAUGCAUAGCCGGCCUGAGAGGGGGAUCGGCCACACUGGGACUGAGACACGGCCCAGACUCCUACGGGAGGCAGCAGUGGGGAAUAUUCGGCAAUGGACGAAAGUCUGACCGAGCAAUGCCGCGUGAGUGAAGAAGGUUUUCGGAUCGUAAAGCUCUGUUGGUAGAGAAGCGGUAUCUAACCAGAAAGCCACGGCUAACUACGUGCCAGCAGCCGCGGUAAUUC